UGCAAAAUAUCAUUCUCUCGAUCCCUUGGUCUUUGGCACGUAACUUUCAAAAGAGCAGUAAUUUGCUUAUCAUUUAACCUUUUGGUGUAUCUCUGAUCCCCCACAAUCUUGCAAACCUGGAAACUCGAUGGAAUUAGAUAAAAAAACUAAUUGAACAAAGCAAAUUCAUUAAUGCAAUCUAGAACGCAUGGACAUGCAAAACAAAGCAACAAGAAGAUGAAAGGGGUUCCAUUUGCCAUACCACGCACAUACAAGUAUUCUAAUAAAUAGGCAGGAAAAUAAUUGCCUUACAACUUACUCCAACUGUUGAGUAUGUUAGACAUUGAAAUCAAGAACAACCAUAUAAAAUCAUUAUGUGAAAUAAUAGUAUAAACACUUCUACAUUCUACACACUUUAUAACCUUAAAAAUAUAGAGCAGACUGCUAUAUCCCUUCCCAAACUUCAUAAUCAAAACCAAAAAAUAGACACAAUCUCAUAACAAACACAUAACACCAAAAUGAUUGGAAGUCAAAUAAUUUCAGCUUGGUUACCUCUCGAGAGAUGAAAAUAUCUGGAAAUCCAAAUUCCAUAUAAGCUCGGUAAGAAUAAUAGAUGCAGAGAGUAUUAACAAACCUCAACUUCCAUAUCAUAAAAACAAAAAUCAAUAAACAGAGUUAUUACAUGAUAAUAAAUAAAUAAAUUAAUUAAUUAAGUCAACAUAUAUAGCAGAAUAUUAAUGAGUAAAAAUAAGUAGCACAUCAGCCAUUGUUAUGAAAUAGGCAAGGCCACCAGUUUGUUUUGACCUUAUGUGAUUUUCUUUAUAACUCAGUAGGUAAGGCUUUCUUGAUUUGAACAGAAAACGAAAGGAAGAAACACUAUGUUUGCUAAAGGAGCAAGGAUAGAUGAAUAAAAAUCUUAAAUGGAAACAGAAACACUAUAUACUUAAGGACAUAAUUACCUAUCUGAUGUUACAAGAAUGAUAGGCAGACAUCUCUCAUUGGCACCCAAUGCAAUUAUUCUCCAGAUCAGACUGUCAUGAUACAUUGAUGCAGAGACUGUUGAAUCGUUUGCUAAAUCCGCAUUCUAAAGGACAUCGAUAUUGUUUAUCACCAAUUUGGG
rnacentral:lncRNA from 1 species